rnacentral:rRNA from 1 species
GACACGACCGUACCGCAAACCGACACUGGUGCGCGAGAUGAGUAUUCUAAGGCGCUUGAGAGAACUCAGGAGAAGGAACUCGGCAAAUUGACACCGUAACUUCGGAAGAAGGUGUGCCUUUAGUAGGUGAACCAUUUACUUGGGGAGCCCAAUGAGGCUGCAAAAAAUCGGUGGCUGCAACUGUUUAUUAAAAACACAGCACUCUGCUAAGACGAAAGUCGACGUAUAGGGUGUGACGCCUGCCCGGUGCUGGAAGAUUAAAUGAUGGGGUGCAAGCUCUUGAUUGAAGUCCCAGUAAACGGCGGCCGUAACUAUAACGGUCCUAAGGUAGCGAAAUUCCUUGUCGGGUAAGUUCCGACCUGCACGAAUGGCGUAAUGAUGGCCACACUGUCUCCUCCUGAGACUCAGCGAAGUUGAAAUGUUUGUGAUGAUGCAAUCUCCCCGCGGAAAGACGGAAAGACCCCAUGAACCUUUACUGUAGCUUUGUAUUGGACUUUGAACAGAUCUGUGUAGGAUAGGUGGGAGGCUUUGAAGUGUGGUCGCUAGAUCGCAUGGAGCCAACGUUGAAAUACCACCCUGGUGUGUUUGAGGUUCUAACCUAGGUCCAUUAUCUGGAUCGGGGACAGUGCAUGGUAGGCAGUUUGACUGGGGCGGUCUCCUCCCAAAGUGUAACGGAGGAGUUCGAAGGUACGCUAGGUACGGUCGGACAUCGUGCUAAUAGUGCAAUGGCAUAAGCGUGCUUAACUGCGAGACUGACAAGUCGAGCAGAUGCGAAAGCAGGACAUAGUGAUCCGGUGGUUCUGUAUGGAAGGGCCAUCGCUCAACGGAUAAAAGGUACUCUGGGGAUAACAGGCUGAUACCGCCCAAGAGUUCAUAUCGACGGCGGUGUUUGGCACCUCGAUGUCGGCUCAUCUCAUCCUGGGGCUGUAGCCGGUCCCAAGGGUAUGGCUGUUCGCCAUUUAAAGAGGUACGUGAGCUGGGUUUAAAACGUCGUGAGACAGUUUGGUCCCUAUCUUCCGUGGGCGCUGCAGAUUUGAGGAAGCCUGCUCCUAGUACGAGAGGACCGGAGUGGACGAACCUCUGGUGUAUCGGUUGUCACGCCAGUGGCAUUGCCGAGUAGCUAAGUUCGGAAGAGAUAACCGCUGAAAGCAUCUAAGCGGGAAACUCGUUUCAAGAUUAGAUCUGCCGGGGCCUUGAGCCCCCUAAAGAGUCGUUCAAGACCAGGACGUUGAUAGGUCAGGUGUGGAAGCGA